CAGCAGCCGCGGUAAGACAGAGGAUGCAAGCGUUAUCCGGAAUGAUUGGGCGUAAAGCGUGCGCAGGCGGUUCGUUAAGACAGAUGUGAAAUCCCUGGGCUUAACCUGGGAACUGCAUUUGUGACUGGCGGGCUAGAGUAUGGCAGAGGGGGGUAGAAUUCCACGUGUAGCAGUGAAAUGCGUAGAGAUGUGGAGGAAUACCGAUGGCGAAGGCAGCCCCCUGGGCCAAUACUGACGCUCAUGCACGAAAGCGUGGGGAGCAAACAGGAUUAGAUACCCCCGUAGUCCCUGUCUCUUAUAA
rnacentral:rRNA from 1 species